rnacentral:rRNA from 1 species
UAGCAGCGAAGCCGCAAGGCGGAGCAAAUCACAAAACCCGGUCCCAGUUCAGAUUGCAGGCUGCAACUCGCCUGCAUGAAGGCGGAAUUGCUAGUAAUCGCGAAUCAGAAUGUCGCGGUGAAUACGUUCCCGGGUCUUGUACACACCGCCCGUCACACCAUGGGAGCCGGGAAUGCCCGAAGUCGGUGACCCAACCGUAAGGAGGGAGCCGCCGAAGGCAGGCCUGGUAACUGGGGUGAAGUCGUAACAAGGUAUC